AUUACAAGUUUCAAGUAUAUAGAUGAAUGUAUACCAGAAUUUUUUUCCGAUUCUCUGAUUUUCUUAAAUUCUAUUCAGACUUUAAUGACCUUGGUAUUCCAUGGUGGUGUGAUAGUCCAGAAGAUUUUGUGGCAAAGUAUAGAAAUGCUUUCUUGUGUAUCUGAAUGACUUCAUCACUGGAUUGAUUUAACUUUUGGUUAUAUUCUUAACAUUUCUCUUUUAAACAAAUGGAUUUAUGUUUUUGGUAUCUGACACAAAAGAGAGUGGCGAUGAGGAAGAGCAAGUCCAGCUUUCUUUUUGAAAAAUUUAGAUCAAAAUCUUCCACUGAUCGCUCAGAAUCUAGACCGGAAAGCCAAAGACUUACACAAGGAUUCAUUAUCUUCCCAUCUUGAAACUCUGCAUACUUUUCAAUCUUGGUUUGACGGAAAAUAUCAUCAUUUUAAUGAAUUUAAGGUAAGUCUUUAAGUACCAAUUCAAACACUAAAAAAGAUUUAUGAUACACUUUUUAAAUUAAAGGGUUCAUUAACAUUCUAAGUUGAAAAAACUUGCCUUUUCAUGUUUUUAUGCUUCCCUUAAUUGGCUCAUAAAAUAGGUAUGUAACUAAGAAAGGUGGCUUAACAUGCAUUCCCCAAAAAUGCAUAGUUAUCGCUUACGCUCAUCAACCUUAGCCUGUUGCAAUCAUUUCACCAUGCUGUAGUUGGUUAAAAUGAAUUAUUUAGUUAGUCUUCUCAAUGUGCCUUAAAUUUAAAGAGUUGCCCAGAUUUUGCAACCAGGUUCUCGAUCUUCACCCUCUUUUUUCCACUGUUCUUAAGUGCUGAAUGUUGU